AACCUUAUGGACCUGCGGGCGUAUACCUGCGGAAGGAUCAUUACACAAUAACAUAUGAAGGCUGCACGCGGCUGUGCUCUCGGGCGCAGUGCUGCUGAGGCUGGAUUAUUUAUUUUACCCUUGUCUUUUGCGCACUUGUUGUUUCCUGGGCGGGUUCGCUCGCCACCAGGACCACACAAUCAACCUUUUAUGCAAUUGUAAUCAGCGUCAGUACCACAAAUGUAAAAUCAUUUACAACUU
rnacentral:misc_RNA from 1 species